rnacentral:misc_RNA from 1 species
AACGGUCUAUACCUGCGGUACCUGCGGAGGGAUCAUUAUCAAUUUACAGCGGACUUCGGUCCUGUCUGCACCCUUGUCUUUUGCGUACUAUAUGUUUCCUCGGUGGGCUUGCCUGCCGAUAGGACACUUAUAAACUCUUUUGUAAUUGCAAUCAGCGUCAGAAAACUAUAAUAGUUACAACUUUUAGCAAUGGAUCUCU